ACAGACCGAAAGGGAGAAAGAACUUCACUUCUUAUCUUGGCCGUAGAACUUAUAUCAGAAGAAGAAGGACUCGAAUUGUUACAAACUACGGAGAGCGAUUUCGGUUUGCGUCUGGAACUGGAGAUGUCAGUGAAGCCGGAGUAGUAUUUCCCACCAUAUUUCAAUUGGCGGGAGAAUUCGGACAGUUUGGCGGUAAGAUGGAAGUUGGGAGAAUUGACGGUAAUAGAGAACAGCGCCGCCGUAGCCAUGGCUGAGCAACGUUAUCCCGGUAGAAAUGCAGUGGUUUGU
rnacentral:misc_RNA from 1 species